rnacentral:lncRNA from 1 species
AUGUAUAAAGACCGCACUUUUUGCUUUGUUAAUCAGUUGUCCACUUACCUUUUCAUACUCUAACAAGGUGUUCAUUAUCAACUCUAAAGAAUAUUUGUCUGCUAAUGCAAAUAUGAUAAUAUCAUCUGCAUAAGCUAAAUGGUUCACAUAUAGACUCCACUUUGGCAUUCCAUACUCCUUGUACCCCUCCUUACAAUGAAGUGCAUUAAGAGCUCUAG